rnacentral:rRNA from 1 species
UACAGAGGGUGCGAGCGUUAAUCGGAAUUACUGGGCGUAAAGCGCGCGUAGGCGGCUUUGCAAGUCGGGUGUGAAAUCCCCAAGCUUAACUUGGGAACUGCAUUCGAGACUGCAUUGCUAGAGUAUGGGAGAGGGAAGUGGAAUUUCCGGUGUAGCGGUGAAAUGCGUAGAUAUCGGAAGGAACAUCAGUGGCGAAAGCGACUUCCUGGACCAAUACUGACGCUCAUGAGCGAAAGCGUGGGGAGCAAACAGG